AAGUGACCCCACGACGUGGGUGGGUGCAGCUGCUGGAGCAGUGCUGAUAUCACAGGAGAAAUUCUAACCACGCUCCCAACACCUAUUUCAGGGGUUGGCAAUCAAGUCCCAAGGCAAAAGUGACAUCUAAGGUGAUUUUAGAGAUGGCUACCAGGAUCACCCAACCAUUGGCUACUGCUUGAGGUCUUGGGAGGCCAGAGCCUAAAGCCCAGGGAAAGCUUCUUUUCAGGCAGGGUGUGGGUGUGGGUGUGCGCAUGAGCACCAUGUGUGAGGCAGGGAAUGAAGGCUUGGCACGCCACUUUAGAUGGUGGCUGAGAAUCAGAUGUGCCUGCAUCUGGUGGGAUAGACUGUCUCACAUCUGCCCAAUGUAGCAUGACCACCAAUUUUAUGUCACAAUUGCUACCAUAAAAUGACCUUUGGUGAUUUUUGCUGCAUGUGGUGGACAGCUCUUCCUUCACAUUAGUGCUCUGUGGCUUUCUUUGCAGACUAUUAUGCUGUCUAAAGCUUAUUUGGCACUGUCGUGAGCCUCAACCCUUGCUAUUACCCCGAAGGCCUGUCUUAAAAAAAAAAAUCUCAUGCUCUAUUACGCCACUCCAAUAAUUUACAGUUCUUACCAGCCUUGGUUAGCGUAAUAUUUUAAUGCAAAUAUGCUUUACCAUUGGAUUUUAUUUUAAGCACACACACACACACACACACACACACACACAAUUUCCCAUGCUUCUGGCUAGCAAAAUAUCCAUUUUAUGGGAGUUCACUGAAAUCGGCCUCUUAUUCUCUGGUCAGGUCUCACUGAUUGAGCACUGUUUCCUCUGGGUCAGUUAAAACAUCACCAGAAAAAAAAAAAAAAAAAAAGGGUUACUUAAACUUCUGUUGAGAUUUUUUUUUUUAAGAUCCUAUACAUGAUAAACCCACUUAAGGCAGAAACACCAAUUCUUAUUUCCCUGCAUCCAGUCGCAAUGCAAAUUGACAUUUGAGUAACAUUAUUUAAUUAGGCUUCCAUUUUUCCACCUUCUUUGUGUAGUUAGGAAAUGUUUGAAUACAUGCCAGUUUACUGCUCCAAUGUAAACUGCUGCUAAGAAAGUGGUCUGUCCACGCUACACCACCUUUAAAUUGUGUAUAUAAUUUUAUAAAUGAUAUAAAAUCUGCUUCUAGCCCUGAGGAAAAAACAAACCAUAAGCAUGGCACACUGCAAUUUUGGAAGGAUUUAAAAUAUGUGAUUUCUGCUGGUACCUACUGUAUUGGGUUUUAUAUAAAGCUUUUUUCAAUAAGGUAAAUUGUUACAUGACAAACUCAUCUUCCACCAUUAUCAUCUGAAUUCAUGGCAUAUGUCUUGCUAUAAAGUAAAAUAUAUUUCUUAUAACCAACUUGUAUGUAGCUAUUCAUCUCACAGCAUUAGAACUGACCACGGGCAAUAUUAGAAACAUUCUUUCAUCCAACCAAAUCUACUUAGUAU
rnacentral:lncRNA from 1 species